rnacentral:misc_RNA from 1 species
UGGCCACAGUAUAUGGCAGCCA